rnacentral:rRNA from 1 species
AUACUAAGGAGAUCGAGAGAAUCGUGGUUAAGGAACUCGGCAAAAUGCCCCCGUAACUUCGGGAUAAGGGGGGCCUAAGGCGUGAACGGACUUGCUCCGGGAGCGCUGCAGGGCCGCAGAGACCAGUGGGAAGCGACUGUUUACUAAAAACACAGGUCCGUGCUAAGUCGCAAGACGAUGUAUACGGACUGACGCCUGCCCGGUGCUGGAAGGUUAAGAGGAACGGUUAGCCGUAAGGCGAAGCUGUGAAUUUAAGCCCCAGUAAACGGCGGUGGCUGAGACUGCCAAGGCAUCCUAAGGUAGCGAAAUUCCUUGUCGGGUAAGUUCCGACCUGCACGAAUGGCGUAACGACUUCCCAGCUGUCUCAACCGCGAACUCGGCGAAAUUGCACUACGAGUAAAGAUGCUCGUUACGCGCAGAAGGACGGAAAGACCCCGUGACCUUUACUAUAGCUUUGUAUUGGUGUUCGGUGUGGCCUGUGUAGGAUAGGUGGGAGACUGUGAAGCUUGGACGCUAGUUCAGGUGGAGUCAUUGUUGAAAUACCACUCUGGUCAUAUUGGAUAUCUAACUUCGAACCGUAAUCCGGUUCAGGGACAGUGCAUGGUGGGUAGUUUAACUGGGGCGGUUGCCUCCCAAAAAGUAACGGAGGCGCCCAAAGGUUCCCUCAACCUGGUUGGUAAUCAGGUGUCGAGUGUAAGUGCACAAGGGAGCUUGACUGUGAGACUGACAAGUCGAGCAGGGACGAAAGUCGGGACUAGUGAUCCGGCAGUGGCUUGUGGAAGCGCUGUCGCUCAACGGAUAAAAGGUACCUCGGGGAUAACAGGCUGAUCUUGCCCAAGAGUCCAUAUCGACGGCAUGGUUUGGCACCUCGAUGUCGGCUCGUCGCAUCCUGGGGCUGGAGUAGGUCCCAAGGGUUGGGCUGUUCGCCCAUUAAAGCGGUACGCGAGCUGGGUUUAGAACGUCGUGAGACAGUUCGGUCCCUAUCCUCUGCGCGCGCAGGAAAUUUGAGAAGAUCUAUCCCUAGUACGAGAGGACCGGGAUGGACGAACCUCUGGUGUGUCAGUUGUUCCGCCAGGAGCACCGCUGAUUAGCUACGUUCGGAAUGGAUAACCGCUGAAAGCAUCUAAGCGGGAAGCCAGCUUCAAGAUGAGAUUUCCAUGGCUUAGGCCGAGAGACUCGCAGCUAGACUACUGCGUUGAUAGGCUGGAUGUGGAAGCAGGGACUAACGACCUGUGGAGCUGACCAGUACUAAUAAGUCGAUAAAUUGAUAAC